rnacentral:rRNA from 1 species
AUUGAACGCUGGCGGCAUGCUUUACACAUGCAAGUCGGACGGCAGCACAGAGAAGCUUGCUUCUUGGGUGGCGAGUGGCGAACGGGUGAGUAAUAUAUCGGAACGUACCGAGCAGUGGGGGAUAACUAAUCGAAAGAUUAGCUAAUACCGCAUAUUUUCUGAGGAAGAAAGCAGGGGACCAUUUGGCCUUGCGCUGUUUGAGCGGCCGAUAUCUGAUUAGCUAGUUGGUGGGGUAAAGGCCUACCAAGGCGACGAUCAGUAGCGGGUCUGAGAGGAUGAUCCGCCACACUGGGACUGAGACACGGCCCAGACUCCUACGGGAGGCAGCAGUGGGGAAUUUUGGACAAUGGGCGCAAGCCUGAUCCAGCCAUGCCGCGUGUCUGAAGAAGGCCUUCGGGUUGUAAAGGACUUUUGUCAGGGAAGAAAAGGAUAGGGUUAAUACCCCUGUCUGAUGACGGUACCUGGAGAAUAAGCACCGGCUAACUACGUGCCAGCAGCCGCGGUAAUACGUAGGGUGCGAGCGUUAAUCGGAAUUACUGGGCGUAAAGCGGGCGCAGACGGUUACUUAAGCAGGAUGUGAAAUCCCCGGGCUCAACCUGGGAACUGCGUUCUGAACUGGGUAACUAGAGUGUGUCAGAGGGAGGUAGAAUUCCACGUGUAGCAGUGAAAUGCGUAGAGAUGUGGAGGAAUACCGAUGGCGAAGGCAGCCUCCUGGGAUAACACUGACGUUCAUGCCCGAAAGCGUGGGUAGCAAACAGG